rnacentral:rRNA from 1 species
GACGAACCGAGCGAACGUUGUUCGGAAUCACUGGGCUUAAAGGGCGCGUAGGCGGCUUGCCAAGUCAGGGGUGAAAUUUUGCGGCUUAACCGUAACAGUGCCUCUGAUACUGGCAGGCUCGAGGGAGAUAGGGGUCUGCGGAACUUCUGGUGGAGCGGUGAAAUGCGUAGAGAUCCGGAGGAACACCAGAGGCGAAAGCGGCGUCCUGGGGUGAGGUUGACGCUCAGACACGAAAGCAUGGGGAGCAAACAGG